UGCUGAGUCAAGCAUCUCUAUCCAUUCUGUGUUCCAAAUUUUUGUUCUAACUGAUAUCAUUCAUUGGUCAAGUGUGACCUGACAGUCACUCUGCCUCUACCCUCACACACGUUACCCAAGUGUUCCCAUGCAUCUAAAUGUGUUGCAUAUACUCUCCUAACUUUCAAAAAUGUCCAACCACACUGAUCGCUCUUUAUUCUUUGGCAUUUUUAUUGCCACAAUGAUCAAAUCGGCAAGCUGCAAUUGCUUCUAAAUAUUUGUAGAAGGAUUCUGUGACCCAAGGAAGGUUCAAAGCUAAUGUACCUCAAGUCUGAAUGUGUUCUUUAACAACACAGGCUGCUAUUGUCCUGCCCUGUUUCCCAAAGGACACGUAAUAGAAGCCUUACAUUUUUACGUCCUCCUUUUCCAAUGACGUUUUCCAGUUAUACUCUUGUUUACUUUGCAAUGGAAUUUGGAAAUUUAUCUCUUCAAUGUACACAGCACGUGUCAUAUGACUACUGGUCCAGAUAGAGAUUGGGACAGAUGGGUCCCUUUGCUGUCUCCUUCCUCAUCACUUUUGGAGUCCCUGUCUCAAGUAGUUGUGCAUGUCUGCAUCGUGUUCUGAAAAAUGUGUCAGUCUGACAGAAGAGGACGGAUUGAUAUUGCUAAUUGUAGAGGAAGUCCUAUCGUUCCUCCUCUCAUGGUUUCCUUUCCUAUCUUAAUUCCUUUUGCACCAAGGAAUGGAGGGAUGGUAAACAACUAUAUGUCUCUGAUGGGUGAGAUGUCCUUUGAAAACUUGAGGUUCUGAUUCUCACAAAUAUGGGUCAAUUUGCAUCACAGAGUAUACUAUAAAAGGGUUUCAAAUGUCCGUGCUCCUCACAUCCUUGCAUUGUACCUUCCUUUGCAAUAAAUUGUUCCUUUCUUUCUUUACUUUUUAGCGGAGACUGAACAGGACAAAGGUAAGUUCCUGUGAUGUAUUCUGCUGUUUACCUGUGCCACUGUGUAUGUCUCUUUCUGUGUGUGUGUCUGUGAGUGUGUUUCUGAGAGUGAGGUCAGUUACACCUUCAAAUGAUAAUUUUAGACACUGAAUUUUAAGAAAUUUGAAGUUGUUUUCAUGUUUCCAUCCUGUGAAAUUGACAUUGGACUUUGCUAUUUUUUUUUCAGAGGAACGUAAGAAAAGGUUCGGUAAGUUUCUGAGAUCCCUCUACUUUGAUAGGUCUUUAGGAUUACUGGUUUCUUGCCCUCUUGGAAAUUCGCUGCCAUUUUGUCUCCAAGCCAUGCAUUUGCAUGCACUUCUCCUGGGUGUUGACUGUUCUCUGCCAAAUUUGAUGGUUUGGGGCUUCUUUCAUUUACAUUCUAACAGUUACCAUUCCUCUUCCCUCCAUCCACUUCCAUUCCUGCUGUUUGCAUUUCAUCCCAUGCCAUCCCUGGAAACAUUGGCUUCUUCUGUCCUGCAGAAAUUUCCAAGGGUUUCUUUAAGCAGUUGGCGAAACAAAGAACUUUACGUUCAUAGACUUAUGGGUUUUAUGCUAUGUAUGUUUCUGAAAAGCAUCCUAACUUAACACUUCUUUCGUAUGUUCCAAAUUUGAGGACUCAAGGCUAUGAUUCGCAUACUUACCUAAUACAUCAAAAAGAAGAAGAGAUGAUCCCAAACUUCUGAUGGAAGCAUCUCUAACCAUUGUGUGUUCAAAGUUGUUGUUAUAACAGAUAUCAUUCAUUGGUCGAGUGUGAGAUGAGGGUCACUCUCCCUCUGCCCUUGAAUUUAGUACCCAAGUCUUCCCAUGCAUCUAAAUACGUUACAUAUUUCCUCCUAAGUUUUAAAACAUUUCCAACCACACAGAUCACUCAUUAUUUUUUGGCAUAUUUAUUGCCACAAUGAUCAAAUUGGCAAGCUGCAAUUUCUUCUAAAUAUUGGUGGAAGGAUUGCAUGACCUAAGGAAGGUUCAAAUCUAAUCUAUCUCAAGUCUCAAUGUGUUCUGUAACAACACAGGCAGCUAUUGCCCUUGCCUGUUUCCCAAAGGACACCUAAAACAAUCCUUACAUUUUAACG
ensembl:lncRNA